rnacentral:rRNA from 1 species
GCAUGGCUGUCGUCAGCUCGUGUUGUGAAAUGUUGGGUUAAGUCCCGCAACGAGCGCAACCCUUAUCCUUUGUUGCCAGCGGUCCGGCCGGGAACUCAAAGGAGACUGCCAGUGAUAAACUGGAGGAAGGUGGGGAUGACGUCAAGUCAUCAUGGCCCUUACGACCAGGGCUACACACGUGCUACAAUGGCGCAUACAAAGAGAAGCGACCUCGCGAGAGCAAGCGGACCUCAUAAAGUGCGUCGUAGUCCGGAUUGGAGUCUGCAACUCGACUCCAUGAAGUCGGAAUCGCUAGUAAUCGUGGAUCAGAAUGCCACGGUGAAUACGUUCCCGGGCCUUGUACACACCGCCCGUCACACCAUGGGAGUGGGUUGCAAAAGAAGUAGGUAGCUUAACCUUCGGGAGGGCGCUUACCACUUUGUGAUUCAUGACUGGGGUGAAGUCGUAACAAGGUAACCGUAGGGGAACCUGCGGCUGGAUCACCUC